GAGAGAGAGAGAGAGAGAGGAGGAGGAGGUUCUGCUAGUCACUGCAGUCACGCUCUCUCCCUCUAUUCACGCGCAGUGCACUUGCCUAGCGAUGCUACAGCGGUUCCUCCUCCCUUAUGUAUUGGACUGUACAGCUACAAGAGGCGGGAGAUGCGCAUCAGCAACCCGCUACCCGCCGAAGCUCUCUCCACUUCAGGACGGAAGAGACUAAAUGUGAAUGCAUUCAGGUGCAAACUUGCAUGAACUAAAAAAUAGUCCAUGCCGGGGUUUCGGGAUGUUAGAUAGCUGCACGUAGCCUUUUCUAGGGCUAUAUCUCACUGUUGGACGAGGGAUUCGGCGGCGUCCUCAGCUGUUGCAUUUGGGGGCUGAAGUGUUCCGAGCACAGAGAGAGGCCAGGCAACUAUGCGAUUUGAUUUCGAACGGUAAUUUCGGAUCAGUUUGACUGCGAGCGGAGGUUGACUGCCAGUGCCCUCUGAGUUGUAUUUCAAGCCUUUUGUCGCCGGUAUUCCCGACAACGGAACCGUAGGGAUGGAAAAAGCUAGUCAGCCACAGCUUUCGCUGUCCAUAACAAAGAGUGAAAGUCCAGCGGAGGACAUCUCAAAUAUACAGGACGAGGACCUUCUCAAGUGGACCAAAGAGGAUUUGGUGCGGCGGCUCCGGCGGUCUGAAGCUGAUAAAAUGAGCGUGAUACUGGACCACAGCAAUCUGAUCCGCGAGGUCAAUCGCAGCCUCCAGCUGCACUUGAACGAGAUAAGAGGGCUGAAGGACAUCAACCAGAAACUGCAGGAGGACAACCGGGAGCUGAGGGACCUGUGUUGCUUCCUGGAUGACGACCGUCAGAAGGGCAAGCGGGUGUCCAGGGAGUGGCAGCGACUGGGGCGCUACAGCGCCUCCAUCAUGAGGAAGGAGGUGACAUUGUACCUUCAGAAGCUCAAGGAGCUGGAGGUGCGGCAGGACGAGGUGGUCCGGGAGAACCUGGAUCUCAAAGAACUCUGUUUGUUGCUUGACGAGGAGAAAGGAAGAGGUGGUGGAGGGGUGGGGGUUGGUGGUGUAGGAGGAGGAGGGGGAGGUUGUGUGGUGGGGGUGGCAGGAGGGUGUAGGAAUUCUAUCGAUAGCCAGAGUAGUUUGUUGCUGGUCCCCGGGACAGGGUUGUUGAUGAGGGACGUGGGGGAUGGUAGUAGUACGUCUAGCGCGGGGAGCGCCGACAGCUCCGAUCACCCCCACCACAAGCAGCUCCACCUGGCUACACACGCCGGUAGCCUCGGGGGCGGUGGAACUGGGAGCCCGGAGCAUCUCCAAAAGCCCCGGGCUGGCAGUGUGAGUGGAGAACGUGAGAUCCCCUCCAGCCCUGAACCUCCUCACCCCCAGGGCAGGCACCGUAGCACCAGCCUGGAGUAUCCCUACGCCAUGCCCCAGCUCUGCCGGCCCCGCUGCGGCUCCAUCUCGGUGCCCGACCACACCCAUAGCGCCCGUUCCAUGCGGGGGCUCAGCCCUGAGAAGUACGGCCGCAACGUGGGACGCCGGAGCCCCGAGUCCCAGCACCCAUCCACCAAGCACCACCACCUCCACAGCUCCGACCUGCUUCUCUCCCAGAAACAGCAGCACCUCCUGGGGUCGGGUCAGGGCGGCAGCGCCGGGGAGCUCUACCAGAGGCACCACAGGGGGAGCAUCGGGGGCGGUAGCUGCUGUGGAAGCCCCGAGCCCAGACAGGCACAUCUAGGGUUGGGGACGCCAGAGCACCAGCACCAUGAGAAGGGCUGUGUGAUGUCGGCCGGGGGCAGUCCAGAGACUCACAGGCACCAGUAUAGUGGGAGUCCAGACCACAUGAAGUUCGGCAGCCCUGGGAGAGAGGCACAGAAGAGACCGGCCACCGCUGAAGAGCUGUCACCGCAUCACAGGAGCAUCUACAACGGCAUGAACGGAUCUGGGCCUGGUCGGGUGUAUGUAGUAGAUCCCUCGUGUCCAACUAAUUGAAGAAGAACUCCUCGUCUAAUUUGAGCUUUGAUGUCAGCUGGAUGCUGUACCACCAACUGUAGAAAUGUGAAAAUAUGGGACAGCUUCGAUGCCUCUUCUUGACCACACUGCACCCCAGCUGGGGGAUAAGGAGUGUCCAACACUCCUGCUGCCCUGGCCCAAACAGACACUAGGACAACUGGACACCCCUCUCCACGAUCCUGAUGUUCUGUCCCAUCCGUCCUCACGUACUACUAUGUUUUCAUUUCUACAUAUCUAGAGUUCGGGACAAUUUGGGGGAAAACUUGGGAAUGCUAUUAGGACAGAUGGAUGGCAUUCCCAAAGACUGCCACAGCUAAAUGGAUGAGAGCUAGACUGGAUCCCGAAUAUGAGCUCCCUGCCAACCACCAUGACAUGACCUACCCCCCAGAGAGGGAAAGAUGCAGGGGAAGAAGUGAAAAGAAGGAGAGAAGAAGAGGAACCCUCCUCUCUGUUUACAGAUUAAUCUCAUCAGUCUGGGGUCCACUAUCUCUCUCUCUCUCUCUUUAUCUAUUUUUAUCUCUCUCUCUUUCUCUCGCUCUCUCCUCUUCCUCCCUCUGCCUCUACCCUUUCUCUCUUAAUCUCUCUCAAUCUCUCUCUCUUA